rnacentral:sRNA from 1 species
UAUGGUUAAAUGGUCUCUAGGUUGUUGC